AGGGGUGUAGCUCAGUGGUAGAGCACUUGUCUACCAUGCACAAGGCUCUGGGUUCAAUCCUCAGCAUUGCAA
rnacentral:tRNA from 1 species